rnacentral:rRNA from 1 species
UACGGAGGAUGCGAGCGUUAUCCGGAUUUAUUGGGUUUAAAGGGUGCGUAGGCGGGAUGCCAAGUCAGCGGUAAAAAUGCGGUGCUCAACGCCGUCGAGCCGUUGAAACUGGCGUUCUUGAGUGGGCGAGAAGUAUGCGGAAUGCGUGGUGUAGCGGUGAAAUGCAUAGAUAUCACGCAGAACUCCGAUUGCGAAGGCAGCAUACCGGCGCCCUACUGAUGCUGAGGCACGAAAGCGUGGGUAUCGAACAGG